UACAGAGGUCUCGAGCGUUGUUCGGAUUCAUUGGGCGUAAAGGGCGCGUAGGCGGCGGGGUAAGUCUGGUGUGAAAAUCUCGGAGCUCAACUCCGAAAAUUGCACUGGAUACUGCUCUGCUAGAGGGCUGGAGAGGAGAUCGGAAUUCACGGUGUAGCAGUGAAAUGCGUAGAUAUCGUGAGGAAGACCAGUGGCGAAGGCGGAUCUCUGGACAGCUCCUGACGCUGAGGCGCGAAGGCUAGGGGGAGCAAACGGG
rnacentral:rRNA from 1 species